rnacentral:rRNA from 1 species
GAUGAACGCUGGCGGCGUGCCUAAUACAUGCAAGUCGAGCGAACAGAUGAGGAGCUUGCUCCUCUGACGUUAGCGGCGGACGGGUGAGUAACACGUGGAUAACCUACCUAUAAGACUGGGAUAACUUCGGGAAACCGGAGCUAAUACCGGAUAAUAUAUUGCACCGCAUGGUUCAAUAGUGACUGACGGUUUUGCUGUCACUUAUAGAUGGAUCCGCGCCGCAUUAGCUAGUUGGUACGGUAACGGCUUACCAAGGCAACGAUGCGUAGCCGACCUGAGAGGGUGGUCGGCCACAUGGGAAGUGAGACACGGACAAGACUCCUGCGGGAGGCAGCAGUAGGGAAUCUUCCGCAAUGGGGGAGAGCGUGACAGAGCAACGGGGCGUGAGGGAUGAAGGUGUCCGGAGCGGAAAGCUCUGUUAUUGGUGGAGAACAAAUGUGGAAGUAGACGUGCAGGUCUUGACGGUACCGAAUCAAAAAGCCACGGCUAACUACGUG